AGCUACAGGCUUAACACAUGCAAGUCGAGGGGCAGCAUGGCCUUAGCUUGCUAAGGCCGAUGGCGACCGGCGCACGGGUGAGUAACACGUAUCCAACCUGCCGUCUACUCUUGGACAGCCUUCUGAAAGGAAGAUUAAUACAAGAUGGCAUCAUGAGUCCGCAUGUUCACAUGAUUAAAGGUAUUCCGGUAGACGAUGGGGAUGCGUUCCAUUAGAUAGUAGGCGGGGUAACGGCCCACCUAGUCUUCGAUGGAUAGGGGUUCUGAGAGGAAGGUCCCCCACAUUGGAACUGAGACACGGUCCAAACUCCUACGGGAGGCAGCAGUGAGGAAUAUUGGUCAAUGGGCGAGAGCCUGAACCAGCCAAGUAGCGUGAAGGAUGACUGCCCUAUGGGUUGUAAACUUCUUUUAUAAAGGAAUAAAGUCGGGUAUGGAUACCCGUUUGCAUGUACUUUAUGAAUAAGGAUCGGCUAACUCCGUGCCAGCAGCCGCGGUAAUACGGAGGAUCCGAGCGUUAUCCGGAUUUAUUGGGUUUAAAGGGAGCGUAGAUGGAUGUUUAAGUCAGUUGUGAAAGUUUGCGGCUCAACCGUAAAAUUGCAGUUGAUACUGGAUAUCUUGAGUGCAGUUGAGGCAGGCGGAAUUCGUGGUGUAGCGGUGAAAUGCUUAGAUAUCACGAAGAACUCCGAUUGCGAAGGCAGCCUGCUAAGCUGCAACUGACAUUGAGGCUCGAAAGUGUGGGUAUCAAACAGGAUUAGAUACCCUGGUAGUCCACACGGUAAACGAUGAAUACUCGCUGUUUGCGAUAUACUGCAAGCGGCCAAGCGAAAGCGUUAAGUAUUCCACCUGGGGAGUACGCCGGCAACGGUGAAACUCAAAGGAAUUGACGGGGGCCCGCACAAGCGGAGGAACAUGUGGUUUAAUUCGAUGAUACGCGAGGAACCUUACCCGGGCUUAAAUUGCAGAUGAAUUACGGUGAAAGCCGUAAGCCGCAAGGCAUCUGUGAAGGUGCUGCAUGGUUGUCGUCAGCUCGUGCCGUGAGGUGUCGGCUUAAGUGCCAUAACGAGCGCAACCCUUGUUGUCAGUUACUAACAGGUUCCGCUGAGGACUCUGACAAGACUGCCAUCGUAAGAUGUGAGGAAGGUGGGGAUGACGUCAAAUCAGCGCGGCCCUUACGUCCGGGGCUACACACGUGUUACAAUGGGGGGUACAGAGGGCCGCUACCACGCGAGUGGAUGCCAAUCCCCAAAACCUCUCUCAGUUCGGACUGGAGUCUGCAGCCCGACUCCACGAAGCUGGAUUCGCUAGUAAUCGCGCAUCAGCCACGGCGCGGUGAAUACGUUCCCGGGCCUUGUACACACCGCCCGUCAAGCCAUGGGAGCCGGGGGUACCUGAAGUGCGUAACCGCGAGGAGCGCCCUAGGGUAAAACUGGUGACUGGGGCUAAGU
rnacentral:rRNA from 1 species